AGGGGGCGGGGGUCCGCGCCCCGCCCCUGCCCCACCCUCUCCCCUCACGGCGCGGCGGGAAACGGGUCCGCACCCCGCCGGCCGCCCCCCACUCACCCAGCAGCGCCCGGAGAUGCUUGAGGCGGGCUCGCUUGAUGCCGUGCCCUGUGGGUUAUCCUCCACGAACGUGUGAACAGCUGUCAGCUUUGGUGUAGAAAUGGGAGAGGGAGGAACCAGUGUUACCGUGGCGUCAGGUGCGGCAAGCCAUCUUCUGGUCUUUUCAGGCACAUUAAAAGCAUCUCUUAGCACCUCUGCUGUGACUUCGGUUUCUUAAGGUAGUAUCACCACCUUCUCUGAAAAACAGAGCUGGAUCCAACAGCCCGCAGAGGGACGCAUCCAGAGGAGCGGGGUUUCCAGGGGAAGAGCUGCCCAAGGCUCGGGGAAAGCCCCCAGCAUGGGCUGAACCAGCUGGUCCCACCAAAGGAGGGCUGGCGGCUGGGCUGACGUGAAUUAAGGCCACCUCAGUGAGCAGCGGUGGAGGACGAGGCCAGCGGGCUUUCUGCUAAAUGCACUCGGGAUGAGCAAUUAAACGGUGCAGAUGCAGUGUGGUAAGCAUUGUUUUUAGUUACGGAUUCUUCAAAAACCACACUUUCCGCGUCACCGAUAUUUUUUCCUGCGUUUUGACCCAGCUAGCAACAGCAGAGCACCACACGUGCCCUCCGCCCACCGGUGUCUGCAGCCUCCCGACCCCUCCAGGACCGGCGCCAGGGGGGCUGGAGAUGAAAUGCAGACCGUGGCAUGGGGCAGCAUUUCCAUAAGUGCUGUUUGCGAAGGCAGGUGCGAUUCCUUACAUUAUCGCCAGAACAUUUAAAUCUUAAUGACUGGCAUUGUUGUCUCAAAGACGGUGUUUUUCCUGCUGAGAAACUGCAUUAGAUUGGAGAAACAGAGCUCAUUUCCAUUCACUCAGCAGUCUCUCUAGAAAUGACAUGCAGUGCUUGAAACUGUUUAUUUCCAAAUUCAGGCCUCCUCCGCAUCAGUCAUCAGCUUCAAUUACCAGUUUUCCGGAGCUGAGCCAUCAGGCAGUCUGACACGAGGGUCCAACCUAAUUCCCACCUUCUCCAAAGUCAAGAGCAUAAUGUGCAGAUGAAAAGGUGGAAAAUAGCCUGGACUUCAUUAGCAUGCAGAGCCCGGCUGUUCAUUUGCUUGCUGCGAAUGGAAGUUCUGACACUCGGCGCCUUCUGCAAUAUGAGAAAAGUCCUCUUCAGAGUAUAUGAUGUCCUUACCAGCCAGGAAAGGUCAUCAAAAAGGCAGGCGCUGACCUUGCUCCCUGCUCUUCAUGACUAGUUUAUUGAUUCCAGGAACACCUCAUUACAUGCCGGAUCAACAUAUUAUUGCCAUGUUCAGCGGCUGAAUUGUUUACAAGUGUCUUUAUAACCAGCAAAAGCCUUCCGGAUGAUGCAUGACUACACUCAUUUGGAUGUGACCUGCCAAUUAUGUGUUAUCCGAUAUGGUGCUGUGUGUCUUGAUCCCUGACCGGGCCCGCUGCCCUGCAUCAGCACGGGCCCAUUUACUACUUCUUUCUAACCGCUCUUUGGGAAAGUGUCCAUUAGCCUGUCAGUCUGUAAAUAUUUUAUUUUUUUUUUUACCUCCGCUGCAGGCAACACGAGCGUUAUUGCUCUGUCAUUUGCUAUGCAUGAGGUUCAUAAUCAGUUGGGGGAAGAGGGUUGUUUUUUUUAUGGCGGCGUCUGAUAACCCACGCAAUUUGCAGUCAGUAUGCAUGGCGAGCGGUGCGACUUGUUACAGAGCCGCGUGCUGGCCCUGCGAGAGAGACCUGUCAUAUUUUAUUCAGGCGCGAGUACUGCGAGGCUGGUGAUUUAUUUGCGGGAGGGAAGGCAGGAGCAAACCCCCCCCUCCUCCCCAGCCUCUCCCUUCCCUGCCUUUAAAGGUCCAAUAACUUACCACCCAGCAAAUGCAUUUUCCUCUUCUACAUA